rnacentral:rRNA from 1 species
UACGGGGGGAGCAAGCGUUGUUCGGAUUUACUGGGCGUAAAGGGCGCGUAGGCGGCACCGCAAGUCGACUGUGAAAUCUCCGGGCUUAACCCGGAAAGGUCAGCCGAUACUGCGGGGCUAGAGUGCAGAAGGGGCAACUGGAAUUCUCGGUGUAGCGGUGAAAUGCGUAGAUAUCGAGAGGAACACCUGCGGCGAAGGCGGGUUGCUGGGCCGAUACUGACGCUGAGGAGCGAAAGACGUGGGGGAGCGAACAGGG